GUUUACGGCCAUGCCACCCUGCACAAGCCCAAUCCCGUCUGAUCUCAGAAGCUAAGCAGAGUGGGGCCUGGUUAGUACUUGGAUGGGAGACCACCUAGGAAGACCAGGUGCUACAGGCA
rnacentral:rRNA from 1 species